rnacentral:rRNA from 1 species
CAAUAAGCGGAGGAAAAGAAACCAACAGGGAUUGCCUUAGUAACGGCGAGUGAAGCGGCAAAAGCUCAGAUUUGAAAUCUGGUGCCAUUUUGGCACUCGAGUUGUAAUCUGUAGAGGAGUAUUCGAGUGUAGCUUUGGCUUAAGUUCCUUGGAACAGGACGUCAUAGAGGGUGAGAACCCCGUUAACGGCCUUUGUCUUAUGCUCAUAUGAAUCUCCUUCAAUGAGUCGAGUUGUUUGGGAAUGCAGCUCUAAAUGGGUGGUAAAUUCCAUCUAAAGCUAAAUACUGGCAAGAGACCGAUAGCGCACAAGUAGAGUGAUCGAAAGAUGAAAAGAACUCUGAACAGAGAGUCAAAUAGUACGUGAAAUUGUUGAAAGGGAAGCACUUGUGACCAGACGCACUUGCAGUUGAUCAACCUCCAUUUUUGGUGGUGCACUCGGUUGUAGGUGGGUCAGCAUCAGUUAUAGUGAUGGGAAAAAGAUUGAGGGAAUGUGGCUCUCUCCGGGGAGUGUUAUAGCCCUUGAUGUAAUGCUACCAGCUGUAACUGAGGACCGCGCUUCGGUGAGGAUGCUGACACAAUGGUCGCAAGUGACCCGUCUUGAAACACGGACCAA